UACGUAGGGUGCAAGCGUUAAUCGGAAUUACUGGGCGUAAAGCGUGCGCAGGCGGUCUUGCAAGACAGAUGUGAAAUCCCCGGGCUCAACCUGGGAACUGCAUUUGUGACUGCAUAGCUAGAGUGCGGCAGAGGGAGAUGGAAUUCCGCGUGUAGCAGUGAAAUGCGUAGAUAUCGCUUGGAACGCCGACGGUGAAAACAGCUCGCUGGGGACUCGCUGACGCUGAGACACGAAAGCCAGGGGAGCGAACGGG
rnacentral:rRNA from 1 species